GAUGAACGCUGGCGGCGUGCCUAAUACAUGCAAGUCGAGCGAACAGACGAGGAGCUUGCUCCUCUGACGUUAGCGGCGGACGGGUGAGUAACACGUGGAUAACCUACCUAUAAGACUGGGAUAACUUCGGGAAACCGGAGCUAAUACCGGAUAAUAUAUUGAACCGCAUGGUUCAAUAGUGACAGACGGUUUUGCUGUCACUUAUAGAUGGAUCCGCGCCGCAUUAGCUAGUUGGUAAGGUAACGGCUUACCAAGGCAACGAUGCGUAGCCGACCUGAGAGGGUGAUCGGCCACACUGGAACUGAGACACGGUCCAGACUCCUACGGGAGGCAGCAGUAGGGAAUCUUCCGCAAUGGGCGAAAGCCUGACGGAGCAACGCCGCGUGAGUGAUGAAGGUCUUCGGAUCGUAAAGCUCUGUUAUUAGGGAAGAACAAAUGUGUAAGUAACUAUGCACGUCUUGACGGUACCUAAUCAGAAAGCCACGGCUGACUACGUG
rnacentral:rRNA from 1 species